UGGGGAAUUUUGGACAAUGGGCGAAAGCCUGAUCCAGCAAUGCCGCGUGUGUGAAGAAGGCCUUCGGGUUGUAAAGCACUUUUGUCCGGAAAGAAAUCCUUGGCUCUAAUACAGUCGGGGGAUGACGGUACCGGAAGAAUAAGCACCGGCUAACUACGUGCCAGCAGCCGCGGUAAUACGUAGGGUGCAAGCGUUAAUCGGAAUUACUGGGCGUAAAGCGUGCGCAGGCGGUUUGCUAAGACCGAUGUGAAAUCCCCGGGCUCAACCUGGGAACUGCAUUGGUGACUGGCAGGCUAGAGUAUGGCAGAGGGGGGUAGAAUUCCACGUGUAGCAGUGAAAUGCGUAGAGAUGUGGAGGAAUACCGAUGGCGAAGGCAGCCCCCUGGCAAGUACUGACGCUCAUGCACGAAAGCGUGGGGAGCAAACAGGAUUAGAUACCCCUGGUAGUCCACGCCCUAAACGAUGUCAACUAGUUGUUGGGGAUUCAUUUCCUUAGUAACGUAGCUAACGCGUGAAGUUGACCGCCUGGGGAGUACGUCGCAAGAUUAAAACUU
rnacentral:rRNA from 1 species